CCGAGUGCUGGUGCAGGCUGUUUGGCGUUGACCGUCAGAAUUGGUGCUCUCUGCCUACUGAAUGCUUCACAGCUCUUCCCUGCCCUGUGGGAGGGCCCACAAGUGUCUGUCACUCACUGCUGGUGGGAUUCUUACAGCAACCCUAACUGUUCUCUUCACAUCCACCCCACCCCCACCCCGUUUCUUCAUAGCCACUAGCAUUUUAAACUUGAUUCAUCCUAUCCACUGUCUACUUAAUUCCCAGUCUCUCUCACUAACUGCACCAUAGAAUAUGUUUUCUCUGGUGGUCUCCCUGGUUCCAGCUCUCUCUUUGCAAGGCUGUAGCCCUUCUGACUUUGCUGUACCCCUGCUCUGCGCUCUUGCUCAUGUUGUUCCUUUUCUAUGAAGUUCUUUUUUCUUGGAACUGGGAGCUCCCCUUCAUCCUUCAACACCCAACCCACACUGGUGCUAUAGUUCUCCUGUCACGGUAACACUGGGACACUUACCUCCUGUGCCUGGGCUCUCUACUCUGGUCACCUUGCCCUUCGUGUCCCCACUUGUAGUAGUAGAGAGCGCAGGUGGAUUGGGUGUGACUGAACUGGAUCACCAUUGACACCAAGGUUGUGGCAGAUACCUACCCCUGUUCAGCUUCCCUUUGCACAGUAAGGGACAGACAUUAUUCUAACCAGGCCAAUGAAAGGAUCAGCUCGGGUCUUUUAAAAGAAGCCUCUUAAGAGCUGCCGGGUUCUUCUCUAUAGAUGUCAGUAACCUAGUUGUCAAGGCAGACAAUGCUGCUGGUACCCUACAGCACCCUGUCAUCUGCCUAGAGGUCACCUCAACCCCAACUGGCAGUAAUGCCCAUGGCUUCUACAUGAGACAGUUAUAUCUCUGCCCCAGGUUUUUGCAGACUGCACAAGGAUGUCCCUUUCAGAGAGCCAGAAAGUUGGCAGCUAGGGUUAGGAGAUAAAGGAUCAGUAAACACUGUCUAACUCUUCACUGGAACUUGAGGGAACCUCUACACAGUCUCUCAGAAGAGCCUCAGGAGGACUGAAUCCCAGUUGUUUACUGCCCACACCCACACCUUUCACUAGCUUCCUCUCUUCCUGGGCCACUCCCAUCCUCCUCACCUGAGUGCCUCCCAAAUAACAUGAUAGGUGUUCAGAUCAGCCAAUCACCACUGCUGAUCCCUCCUCCCAAAUAACUUGAUAGGUGUUCAGAUCAGCCAAUCACCACUGCUGACCCCUCCUCCCAAAUAACUUGAUAGGUGUUCAGAUCAGUCAGUCACCACUGCUAGUCCCUCCACCC